rnacentral:rRNA from 1 species
AUGAAACCAAAUUUAUUUUGUACUGGAAUGAGCAGCAAGCAAACUCCAUUGUCACUUGUCCAUCCAUAUGGUGCACCUGAGGCUCUUCCCCUGCAGCAGCAGGUCGAAGGCCGUGUUGAUGUCCUCGAGGCCGACCUCGUGGGUUAUGAACUUGUCCAGCUCCAGCUCCUGUGUGUGUGUGCAUACCGGCCGGGAGCUCUGGAAGGCAUCGUUCAUGAGCGCCGCCAGGCCGAUGCACUCGAAGCAGUAGUCGGCGCCGCCGUCGGUCAUCUCGAUGAUCACCUGUUUAUCAUGGAAAAAACAGGUGUCUAA